rnacentral:rRNA from 1 species
GGGACUGAGACACGGCCCUUACUCCUACGGGAGGCAGCAGUGGGGAAUAUUGGUCAAUGGACGAGAGUCUGAACCAGCCAAGUAGCGUGAAGGAUGACUGCCUAUGGGUUGUAAACUUCUUUUAUACGGGAAUAAGUGAGGCACGUGUGCCUUUUUGUAUGUACCGUAUGAAUAAGGAUCGGCUAACUCCGUGCCAGCAGCCGCGGUAAUACGGAGGAUCCGAGCGUUAUCCGGAUUUAUUGGGUUUAAAGGGAGCGUAGGCGGACGCUUAAGUCAGUUGUGAAAGUUUGCGGCUCAACCGUAAAAUUGCAGUUGGUACUGGGUGUCUUGAGUACAGUAGAGGCAGGCGGAAUUCGUGGUGUAGCGGUGAAAUGCUUAGAUAUCACGAAGAACUCCGAUUGCGAAGGCAGCCUGCUGGGCUGUAACUGACGCUGAUGCUCGAAAGUGUGGGU